AUAUUGCCUGGCUAGAGGGUUGCUAAGAACAACCUGGAGGUUUUGCCAUGACCUUGCAGAACUCCUACCUUUCUGGCUCCAUUAGAACCUUCUUCCCUCAGAUGACAGAUCUCCCCAGACACCAGCCACUCCCUUUCCCUAUACCAGGAAAUACAGACCCCGUACCUGAUUGCAGACACAGCAGAAGCAGGCUGAAGUGUUGUCAGAGGCAAUAAAACAGCUGAAAUUGCCUCUGGAUUUUCUUAGAAAAUGCAUUAACUUCAGCUAAGUGGGGACUACAAGAAAAUCAACUGACAAGACAAGCCAUCCAACCAGUCCCACCACAGGGCUUCAAUCAAUUCAACUUCAGGCAAAGUUUUUCUUUAGAAUUCUUCCAAGCUCUGUGACCCGCCAGCAACUCCACAGAAACCAAUGGCUCCACAUCAGCAAGCAAGAGCACGAUCUGGCAUUCUUUCCUGUCAUUCAGUGCUCACCAGCACUCAGGC